rnacentral:rRNA from 1 species
GAGUUUGAUCCUGGCUCAGAUUGAACGCUGGCGGCAUGCCUUACACAUGCAAGUCGAACGGCAGCAUGAUCUAGCUUGCUAGAUUGAUGGCGAGUGGCGAACGGGUGAGUAAUACAUCGGAACGUGCCCUGUAGUGGGGGAUAACUAGUCGAAAGAUUAGCUAAUACCGCAUACGACCUGAGGGUGAAAGUGGGGGACCGCAAGGCCUCAUGCUAUAGGAGCGGCCGAUGUCUGAUUAGCUAGUUGGUGGGGUAAAGGCCCACCAAGGCGACGAUCAGUAGCUGGUCUGAGAGGACGAUCAGCCACACUGGGACUGAGACACGGCCCAGACUCCUACGGGAGGCAGCAGUGGGGAAUUUUGGACAAUGGGCGAAAGCCUGAUCCAGCAAUGCCGCGUGUGUGAAGAAGGCCUUCGGGUUGUAAAGCACUUUUGUCCGGAAAGAAAUGGCUCUGGUUAAUACCUGGGGUCGAUGACGUACCGAGAUGGCU